ACUAAAGACAUCAAACAUCAUCAUUUGGAUUUAUAUAUCUAUUAAUAAACUGAUAAAACUGGUGGUAGUGGCUCUUGAAGAAAUCAGAAAAUAUGGAAGGUGCUGUUGAAAAUGGUCUGGUGAUCGCUUUGUGACAAUGAUCUUCUACAAUUAAAAUAAGGGAAUUGGCCAUAUCUCUUUCUUUCGCCCGGUUGCUGAAGCAUUGUCACAGGACAGCAAGGAUUGAUGAAUAUUCUUCAGGUUUCCCUGGAGAGGAACGAGGCCCAGAAUUCAAGCCAGUCUUCCUAAGUGAGGGACCCGCUCAAAACUGCUCACUGAUGGACAGUAGGUCUUGCCUGUCACUCUUGCUGUUAUGGCAGGAGGUAUUGCAAUGGUGACCAAGCUAUGUCCAGGUUAUGCCUUUCUUCAGAUACUAAGGACUGCAGGUGAGAACCAGUACUCCCAAACUCAUAUUUAAUUUUACUUUUUUUAAAUCCAUCUCUCAUAAACAAGUUAGCAAUGUCAGAAAUAGCAUUUGCUUUAAAUUUAUUGGCACUUAUAUUUCCCCCACUCAUUUUAUUCUGUCUUCAUUAUUCUUGGUAGUUGUCUAUGAAUGUGGACAUCUGAAUUCCAACAAGAGGUGAUAGGAAUUACUUAUGGGACUUAUGACUUAUACAGUCCCCUCAAUA
rnacentral:lncRNA from 1 species